rnacentral:rRNA from 1 species
UGCAGUCGAACGAGAAAGUUCCUUCGGGAGCAAUUAAAGUGGCGCACGGGUGAGUAACGCGUAGACAAUCUGCCCUUCAGUCUGGGACAACUUUUCGAAAGGAGAGCUAAUACCGGAUAACAAUGCAUGACACAAGUUGUAUAUUUGAAAGCUUUAUGUGCUGAAGGAGGGGUCUGCGUCCCAUUAGCUAGUUGGUAAGGUAAAGGCUUACCAAGGCAACGAUGGGUAGCGGGUUUGAGAGGACGAUCCGCCACACUGGAACUGAGACACGGUCCAGACUCCUACGGGAGGCAGCAGUGGGGAAUAUUGCACAAUGGAGGAAACUCUGAUGCAGCAAUGUCGCGUGAGUGAAGAAGGCCCUUGGGUCGUAAAGCUCUUUUAUGGGGGAAGAUGAUGACGGUACCCCAAGAAUAAGCACCGGCUAACUAUGUGCCAGCAGCCGCGGUAAUACAUAGGGUGCGAGCGUUGUUCGGAAUUACUGGGCGUAAAGGGCGCGCAGGCGGAAUAGUAAGUCGGAGGUGAAAGCCCGGGGCUCAACCCCGGAGGGUCUUUCGAAACUACUAAUCUAGAGAGGGUCAGGGGCCGGCAGAAUUCCUGGUGUAGAGGUGAAAUUCGUAGAUAUCAGGAGGAAUACCGGUGGCGAAGGCGGCCGGCUGGGACCACUCUGACGCUGAGGCGCGAAAGCGUGGGGAGCAAACAGGAUUAGAUACCCUGGUAGUCCACGCCGUAAACGAUGAGCACUGGACGUCCGGAGGGUUCGACCCUUCUGGGUGUCUCAGCUAACGCAUUAAGUGCUCC